AAGAGACAGCAGUCGCCGCGGUAAAACGUAGGGUGCGAGCGUUAAUCGGAAUUACUGGGCGUAAAGCGUGCGCAGGCGGUUAUAUAAGACAGAUGUGAAAUCCCCGGGCUCAACCUGGGACCUGCAUUUGUGACUGUAUAGCUAGAGUACGGUAGAGGGGGAUGGAAUUCCGCGUGUAGCAGUGAAAUGCGUAGAUAUGCGGAGGAACACCGAUGGCGAAGGCAAUCCCCUGGACCUGUACUGACGCUCAUGCACGAAAGCGUGGGGAGCAAACAGGAUUAGAUACCCCUGUAGUCCCUGUCUCUUAUAC
rnacentral:rRNA from 1 species